AGCGAACGCUGGCGGCAGGCCUAACACAUGCAAGUCAAACGGACCCUUCGGGGUUAGUGGCGGACGGGUGAGUAACACGUGGGAACGUGCCCUUUGGUUCGGAACAACUCAGGGAAACUUGAGCUAAUACCGAAUGUGCCCUUUGGGGGAAAGAUUUAUCGCCAUUGGAGCGGCCCGCGUCUGAUUAGCUAGUUGGUGGGGUAAUGGCCUACCAAGGCUACGAUCAGUAGCUGGUCUGAGAGGAUGAUCAGCCACAUUGGGACUGAGACACGGCCCAAACUCCUACGGGAGGCAGCAGUGGGGAAUCUUGCGCAAUGGGCGAAAGCCUGACGCAGCCAUGCCGCGUGAAUGAUGAAGGUCUUAGGAUUGUAAAAUUCUUUCACCGGGGACGAUAAUGACGGUACCCGGAGAAGAAGCCCCGGCUAACUUCGUGCCAGCAGCCGCCGUAACAC
rnacentral:rRNA from 1 species